UACGGAGGGUGCAAGCGUUAUCCGGAUUUACUGGGUUUAAAGGGUGUGUAGGCGGGCUUUUAAGUCAGUGGUGAAAUCUCCGGGCUCAACCUGGAAACUGCCAUUGAUACUAUUAGUCUUGAAUAUUGUUGAGGUAGGCGGAAUAAGUCAUGUAGCGGUGAAAUGCAUAGAUAUGACUUAGAACACCGAUUGCGAAGGCAGCUUACUAAGCAAUGAUUGACGCUGAGGCACGAAAGCGUGGGGAU
rnacentral:rRNA from 1 species